UGCCCAGCAACUCCUAUCCCUACCUCCUCGUGGUACUGGCCGGGGUACGAGUAACCUCAGAGAAGAUCGGGUAACCCACCCCGUUGGGAGCUUUUGACGUAUGCUGACAGGGAAGG
rnacentral:ribozyme from 1 species